GGGGGCGUAGCUCACUUGGGAGAGCGCUUGACUGGCAGUCAAGAGGUAGUCAGUUCGAAUCUGAUCGUCUCCACCA
rnacentral:tRNA from 1 species